AGGCUAUGAGGAUGAACAUUUUUAGUACGAAAUACUGAAUGAGUUACACCAUACGCUAUUCUGAGCCUUCA